AUUGAACGCUGGCGGCAUGCUUUACACAUGCAAGUCGAACGGCAGCGCGGGCUUCGGCCUGGCGGCGAGUGGCGAACGGGUGAGUAAUGCAACGGAACGUGCCCAGUAGUGGGGGAUAGCCCGGCGAAAGCCGGAUUAAUACCGCAUACGACCUGAGGGUGAAAGCGGGGGACCGAAAGGCCUCGCGCUAUUGGAGCGGCCGAUGGCGGAUUAGCUAGUUGGUGGGGUAAAGGCUUACCAAGGCGACGAUCCGUAGCUGGUCUGAGAGGACGACCAGCCAUACUGGGACUGAGACACGGCCCAGACUCCUACGGGAGGCAGCAGUGGGGAAUUUUGGACAAUGGGGGCAACCCUGAUCCAGCCAUGCCGCGUGCGGGAAGAAGGCCUUCGGGUUGUAAACCGCUUUUGUUCGGGAAGAAAUCCUCUGGGCUAAUACCCCGGGGGGAUGACGGUACCGGAAGAAUAAGCACCGGCUAACUACGUG
rnacentral:rRNA from 1 species